rnacentral:rRNA from 1 species
UACAGAGGGUGCAAGCGUUGUUCGGAAUUAUUGGGCGUAAAGGGGCGCGUAGGCGGUGCUAUAAGUCUGUGGUGAAAUCCUCUGGGCUCGAACUCAGAGUCUGCCAUAGAAACUGUAGUGCUAGAGUGUGGGAGAGGUGGAGUGGAAUUCCCGGUGUAGCGGUGAAAUGCGUAGAUAUCGGGAGGAACGACCGUGUGGCGAAAGCGGCUC